rnacentral:lncRNA from 1 species
CUCCCACUUCACCAAAGGCAUAACCAAAAACAUAUAAUAAACAAAAGGAACAAAACCAUAAUUGCCACAUAUUCUUUGCCUUUGUAAAAGCCACUAAUCAAGGGCUAGACAUCAUAAUGAUGUCCCCCUUUUCCUUAUUCUAUUUUAUUAGCCGAAAGGUAUUUUGGCUUGUUGUCCACUUGGUCACAAAUCCAACAAUCUCCACCUUGACCAAGUUCCGAAAGCAUUACAGAGAAUCGAAUCAACAAUCACCAUAAGCACCCAAAGUACAAACUAAAGACAACGGAAACUAAAUCAAAUUCCCCAAACUUACCAGUGCUCAUAACAAUUUCCACCUCGACUCAAACUGUACCAAAGCCAACGAAAGUGAACAUUUCUCUACCGUCUUCUCCAAAUUUGCAA